rnacentral:rRNA from 1 species
UACGGAGGGGUAGACGUUGUUCGGAAUCAUUGGGCGUAAAGCGCGCGUAGGUGGCCAUGUAAGUCCGCUGUGAAAGUCAAAGGCUCAACCUUUGAAAGCCGGUGGAUACUGCAUGGCUAGAGUACGGAAGAGGCGAGUGGAAUUCCUGGUGUAGCGGUGGAAUGCGCAGAUAUCAGGAGGAACACCAAUAGCGAAGGCAGCUCGCUGGGACGGUACUGACGCUAAGGCGCGAAAGCGUGGGGAGCGAACAGG